UGUAUUGCUGAAUUCAUUCUACUUUGCCUAUUUGCUCAUUUCUUUUCAUAAUAAAACUUUUUAUUCUUCACUAGAAACGACGGAAUAAACCCCCGAGCGAAUCUCUUGCGGUAAGCAGAGAAUAACUGAUUCACUCAGUAUAAAAAUCCCACAUUACUAUUUGCCCUAUUCGAGCCAUUGCAUUUACAAUUUGUUUGCCUCUUUCUCAUUUAUUUUGUAAUAAAACGUGUUUUUAUUCUUCCUAGAUUGAAAACGAUGAAGUUGGCGCGGUCGUCGUGAACCACCAAGACGAACCCGCUGGCGACAUCAUUGUGGCUCUUCCGGAGACCACCAUCUGCCUGGUUCCGUCGGUUGGUUGUGGCGACACCACCUGCCCAGAGCCGCCGACCCCUGGUACCAACAUCUGCCAGGUAAGUAGUAAAGGAACUAUUUUAUUUUCUGAGUUAAUUAAUGAUAAUGAGCUACAGAACUAUAGUAAGUUGAUCCCAUAACUAAUCGUAUCGCUCUUCAUCAGGAGGAGCCAGAGCAGGUUGCUGAGCCUGGCGAGGAGAUUGAGGUAAGCAUAAGGCUAAUAGAGAGGGAUAAACGCAAAUCAAAGUCCCUUAUCAGCCAAUCGGCUUAUUUACAACAGAAAUCAUACAACCUCGCUCAUCUUUUUCAUUUCCCUUUCUUACCCAGGAGCGCCCAGAAAC